ensembl:snoRNA U3 Small nucleolar RNA U3
AAGACUAUACUUUCAGGGUCAUUUCUAUAGUUUCUAACUUGAGAAUGUGUUUCUAAAGUGUUUUGGCUCGCCGACCACGAUGAUGAUGUGAUAUUCCUUUUGAGCUGAGCGUGACAGAGAAGUACUGAUUCACUUCAUAUGUUCUGUCAUUGAUAUUGUUCUUUACUUCUUGUGGAGUAUGAGGAAGGGAAAAUGAUUCAAGUGGU